rnacentral:rRNA from 1 species
UACGAAGGGUGCAAGCGUUAAUCGGAAUUACUGGGCGUAAAGGGCGCGUAGGCGGCUUAUCAAGUCAGGUGUGAAAGCCUUGGGCUUAACCCAAGAAUUGCGCUUGAUACUGAUAAGCUAGAGGAUGAUAGAGGAAAGCGGAAUUCCUAGUGUAGAGGUGAAAUUCGUAGAUAUUAGGAAGAACACCAGAGGCGAAGGCGGCUUUCUGGAUCAUAUCAGACGCUGAGGCGCGAAAGCGUGGGGAGCAAACAGG